CCCUUAGAUGUUCUGGGCCGCACGCGUGCUACACUGAGUGGAUCAGCGGGUCAGGUUGCGCGAAAGUGUUUCCUAAUCUUUAAAUCCGCUCGUGAUGGGGAUUGACGGUUGCAAUUUUCCGUCAUGAACGAGGAAUACCUUGUAAGCGCGGGUCAUCAUCCCGCGCUGAAUACGUCCCUGCCCUUUGUACACACCGCCCGUCGCUCCUACUGAUUGAGUGGUCCGGUGAGGCUUUGGGAUCUGAGCGGAAAGAGCGUUUCGCUGUUUCUGCCCGGAAAACUCAGUCGAACCUUAUCAUUUAGAGGAAGGAGAAGUCGUAACA
rnacentral:rRNA from 1 species